AGCAGUGACAGAGGCCCAGGCAGGGCAGGUGUGGGCAGUGCUGUUGUGCAGGCACAGAGGAGCUGGAGAGAGGCCACUGAGAGCGGGCCUGGCCAUGUGGAGUGCCCUGUGCGUGGGCUUCUUGCCCAUUGUAGCAGUCCCUGGCCAGGUGGCCUUGAAGCAGAACCCCAGGGAAGUGACCAUGCAAGAGGGAAAUGAAGUCACCUUACAGUGCAGCAUCAAUGGAGGUGAUAUGAGCAUCUACAACAUGUACUGGUCCUGUCAGGGCCCUCGGCGCUCUCUGUAAUGGAUUGAUCUGGAACAUCAGGAAUAUUAUGGAUAUGGAGAAGGUUCCCAAAAUCGCUUUAAGGGAAGAGUGGAGAGUUCCAUUACCACACUGCAGAUCCUGGUAGCAGAAGAAGGACAUGCAGCAACGUAUUACUGUGGAGCAUGGACCACCCUGGAGCAGCUCUGUAGCAGAGUGAACCAAAAAACCAACAAAUGAGGAAGACAGAUCUCUCAGCAUUUCUUUCUGGCAGCUGCUCCCCAGGGCUCCUGUGAGGCAAUGGCAGGUUCAGGAAACGUCCCUCUGGCUGGGUGCCACUAAAAGGCACUGCAGGGAGGGCUGCUGGAAGGGCUGGUGCCAUUGAUGGUGCAGGAGGAUCUGUCCUGGGAACUGCAGAGGCUGCAGUUUGGGGAAGUGCAGGUUUGGUGCACGUUGCCUGGGCUCCUGUCCAGCACAGCCUCAUUUCUCCUCAGUGCCUUGCCUUGGCUCCCAGCCCUUUCUCCUCAGGGACAGUCAGCACGGCUUUGGGAAGUGGAAACUGGGCUCAGCCACAUUUACAGCAUUGAACACUGAGACAAAGUGUCACCGACAUGUUUUAUGAAAAAUCCUUUCCUUAGGAUUUUUCACUCCUGAGAAGCUGAGAGGCCUCAGGAACAAACUGUAAACAAUUCUUAUCUGCUGCUGUGGAAUGCACCAGGUGGAUCUGUGAUUGGUCUCAUCUGGUUGUUUCUAAUUAAUGGCCAGUCACAGUUCACCUGCCCAGACUGUCUCGGUCAGAGACAAGCCGUUGUUAUUCAUUCCUUUUCUAUUCUUAGCUUAGCCUUUUAAUGAAAUCCUCUCCUCUAUUCUUUUAGUAUAGUUGUAAUAUAUAUCAUAAAAUAAUAAAUCAAGCUUUCUGAUACAUGGA